rnacentral:rRNA from 1 species
AUUGAACGCUAGCGGGAUGCCUUACACAUGCAAGUCGAACGGAGUGGCGAACGGGGGAGUAAUAGAUACGCACGUGCCCACUAGCGGGGGAUAACUACGAGAAAGCGUAGCUAAUACCGCAUACUAUUUGAGCGGCCGGUAUCGGAUUAGCGAGUUGGUGGGGUAACGGCUCACCAAGGCGACGAUCCGUAGCUGGUUUGAGAGGACGACCAGCCACACUGGGACUGAGACACGGCCCAGACUCCUACGGGAGGCAGCAGUGGGGAAUUUUGGACAAUGGGCGAAAGCCUGAUCCAGCAACGCCGCGUGAGCGAAGAAGGCCUUCGGGUCGUAAAGCACUUUUGGCAGGGAAGCGGUACCUGAAGAAUAAGCAACGGCUAACUACGUGCCAGCAGCCGCGGUAAUUC